CCGGAGCUUGCUCUGGUGGGAUUAGUGGCGAACGGGUGAGUAACACGUGAGCAAUCUGCCCCCGACUCUGGGAUAACCCCGAGAAAUCGGAGCUAAUACCGGAUACGACACCUCCUGGCAUCAGGUGGGUGUGGAAAGAAUUUCGGUUGGGGAUGAGCUCGCGGCCUAUCAGCUUGUUGGUGAGGUAAUGGCUCACCAAGGCGACGACGGGUAGCCGGCCUGAGAGGGUGACCGGCCACACUGGGACUGAGACACGGCCCAGACUCCUACGGGAGGCAGCAGUGGGGAAUAUUGCACAAUGGGCGCAAGCCUGAUGCAGCAACGCCGCGUGGGGGACGAAGGCCUUCGGGUUGUAAACCUCUUUUGGCAGGGAAGAAGCGAAAGUGACGGUACCUGCAGAAAAAGCACCGGCUAACUACGUGCCAGCAGCCGCGGUAAUACGUAGGGUGCAAGCGUUGUCCGGAAUUAUUGGGCGUAAAGAGCUCGUAGGCGGUGUGUCACGUCUGCUGUGAAAAUCCAAGGCUCAACCUUGGACUUGCAGUGGGUACGGGCACACUCGAGUGCGGUAGGGGAGAUUGGAAUUCCUGGUGUAGCGGUGGAAUGCGCAGAUAUCAGGAGGAACACCGAUGGCGAAGGCAGGUCUCUGGGCCGUAACUGACGCUGAGGAGCGAAAGCGUGGGGAGCGAACAGGAUUAGAUACCCUGGUAGUCCACGCCGUAAACGGUGGGAACUAGAUGUGGGGUCCGUUCCACGGAUUCCGUGUCGCAGCUAACGCAUUAAGUUCCCCGCCUGGGGAGUACGGCCGCAAGGCUAAAACUCAAAGGAAUUGACGGGGGCCCGCACAAGCGGCGGAGCAUGCGGAUUAAUUCGAUGCAACGCGAAGAACCUUACCAAGGCUUGACAUAUAGGAGGAAAAGUGCAGAGAUGCACUCCCCGCAAGGUCUCUAUACAGGUGGUGCAUGGUUGUCGUCAGCUCGUGUCGUGAGAUGUUUGGGUUAAGUCCCGCAACGAGCGCAACCCUCGUCCUAUGUUGCCAGCACGUA
rnacentral:rRNA from 1 species